AGUGAACGCUGGCGGCGUGCUUAACACAUGCAAGUCGAACGAGAACGGAUUAUAGCUUGCUAUAAUUGUCAGCUAAGUGGCGCACGGGUGAGUAAUGUAUAGAUAACCUGCCCUCUAGAAAGGAAUAACAGUUGGAAACGACUGCUAAUGCCCUAUAUGCCUUUAAUACAUAAGUAUGCAAGGGAAACGCUUUAGUGCUAGAGGAUGGGUCUGUAUGGUAUCAGCUUGUUGGUGAGGUAAUGGCUCACCAAGGCUAUGACGCCUAACUGGUUUGGGAGGAUGAUCAGUCACACUGGAACUGAGACACGGUCCAGACUCCUACGGGAGGCAGCAGUGGGGAAUAUUGCACAAUGGACGAAAGUCUGAUGCAGCAACGCCGCGUGGAGGAUGACACAUUUCGGUGCGUAAACUCCUUUUAUAUAGGAAGAUAAUGACGGUACUAUAUGAAUAAGCACCGGCUAACUCCGUGCCAGCAGCCGCCGCAG
rnacentral:rRNA from 1 species